GGGUGUGUAGCUCAGUGGUUAGAGUAUGGGAUUGCAGUCAAUCCGCAAUUAUCCUAGUGUCGUCGGUUCGAUUCCGACUACACCCU